UGCCUUCAUGUGUUGCCCUUUCAUUGUCUCUUUAGUGAUUGGGGUGUCAAAUAAGGCAUACAGUGACCCUUGUGGCUUUCUGCAAAACGAGUUUCAUGUGACUCCGUUUACAAGAUAAGCUGCAAGGACAUGC
ensembl:snoRNA small nucleolar RNA SNORA13